AGUUGUGUUCGCACUGCUUGUUCCCAGUUGUUGUAACAAGUUUGGAACGUGCUGUUAACAACUUGUAACAAACUUGAUGGCAUUAUAAAACUUGUUACAAGGUUGUUCUAACAAGUCUGAUACAGUCAUGAUCAGGUUGUAACAAUAUUCCUAUACCAUGACUGUAUCGGUUACAAUAUCAACAAGGUUAAUUGUUAUAACUUACAAGUUGUUAACAGCUUGCUCCAAAUUUGUUGACAACUUGGGACAAGCAGUGCGAACACAACU